GCCCCGCCCCUUCCUCUCCCGGACGCCCGCCUCUUAGUGUCGUCACAAACUCGUGACGUCCCCGCGUGACCUCACCGCUGCGGGGCGAUGGAGCGAAAAGUGAGGAAACUGAAGUCCCGGGAGAGACAGUGGCAAGGUCAAGUAGCAAAGUGCACUCAGCCCUCCCAGCAAGGAGUCUGCCACUCGCGCUUGAAGGACGUGUUUGAAGAGCUGCUUUCCCAGUGGGAUGCUGCCUUAAAGUCUUGAUUCCCUGGCACUCUUUCCUAUUACUACAUUUUAUCGGUGCUGUUUGUGUUAUGCAACGGUAGCAUCGUGUCUCCGGAAGAUAAAAAAGGUCUCGAUACAAACAUCCAUAACCUUCCACCCACUCCGUCAGGAACAACCCAAUCAAAAUAAAGUCAUGAGAAUUUAG
rnacentral:lncRNA from 1 species